AUCCCCUUGGGGACAUCCCGGUGGGGACAUCCAUGGGGUUACCCCAGUGGGGACAUCCCGGUGGGGACAGGGCCAUCCCCUUGGGGACAUCCCGGUGGGGACAUCCAUGUGGUUACCCCAGUGGGGACAUCCCGGUGGGGACAGGGCCAGCCCUUGGGGACAUCCAUGGGGUCACCCCAUUGGGGACAUCCCAUUGGUGCCAUCACCUUGGGGACAUCUUGGGGACAUCCCCACUGAGGUCACCCCAUUGGGGUCACCCCCAGGGCCACCCCCUUGGGGACAUCCCAUUGGGGACAUCCCCCAUUAGGGUCAUUAGGGUCACCCCUUUGGGGACAUCCCAUUGGGGACAUCCCCCAUUAGGGCCACCCCCUUGGGGACAUCCCAUUGGGGACAUCCCCCAUUAGGGUCACCUCAUUUGGGGACAUCCCCCAUUAGGGUCACCCCUUUGGGGACAUCGCCUUGGGGACACCCUCAGGGCCACCCCUUGGGGACGUCCCCCAUUAGGGUGACCCCACUGGGGACAUCCUCAGGGCCACCCGUUGAGGACAUUCCAUUGGGGACAUCGCCUUGGGGACACCCUCAGGGUCACCACGAUCAGGGCCACCCCUUGGGGACAUCCCAGUGGUGACA
rnacentral:lncRNA from 1 species